rnacentral:rRNA from 1 species
UUCAUGGAGAGUUUGAUCCUGGCUCAGGACGAACGCUGGCGGCGUGCCUAAUACAUGCAAGUCGAGCGGACAGAUGGGAGCU